CUCGCCAUAGUUCAAUGGAUAGAACGGGCCCCUCCUAAGGGUCAGAUGUAGGUUCGAUUCCUACUGGCGGGGCCA
rnacentral:tRNA from 3 species